AGUCGACAGCUACUGCUUCUGUUCUUCACUAACUGCUCCCUAUUUAUUUGCCAGAAAUGCAAAAAUUCAACCAAGUGCUACCUAGGAACCUCUAUCAGCAAGUACCUAGCAUUCCAGCAGAUGGGGAUGUCUAUACAUAAAAGAGAGGUCUCUGAUCAGUAAUGUGAGACGUGAGACUUUCCCACACUUCACAAUGAUGACUUGUGCUUUCAGAAGAUCCAGAAUCUUAAUAUAUCUUUGCACAGAAAGGUAUGUCACUAAUUGCUAUAUGGAAUAAUUUGGGUUAGACUAGUUAU
rnacentral:lncRNA from 1 species